GGAUCCAGACUUUGAUCAUGGCUCAGGAUGAACGCUAGCUACAGGCUUAACACAUGCAAGUCGAGGGGCAGCAUGACGGAAGCUUGCUUUCGUUGAUGGCGACCGGCGCACGGGUGAGUAACGCGUAUCCAACCUGCCCUUGUCCAUCGGAUAACCCGUCGAAAGGCGGACUAACACGAUAUGCAGUUCUCAGCAGGCAUCUAACGAGAACGAAAUGCGAAGGAGAAGGAUGGGGAUGCGUCUGAUUAGCUUGUUGGCGGGGUAACGGCCCACCAAGGCGACGAUCAGUAGGGGUUCUGAGAGGAAGGUCCCCCACAUUGGAACUGAGACACGGUCCAAACUCCUACGGGAGGCAGCAGUGAGGAAUAUUGGUCAAUGGGCGAGAGCCUGAACCAGCCAAGUAGCGUGCAGGAUGACGGCCCUAUGGGUUGUAAACUGCUUUUAUACGGGGAUAAAGUGAGCCACGUGUGGCUUAUUGCAGGUACCGUAUGAAUAAGGACCGGCUAAUUCCGUGCCAGCAGCCGCGGUAAUACGGAAGGUCCGGGCGUUACCCGGAUUUAUUGGGUUUAAAGGGAGCGUAGGCCGUCUGUUAAGCGUGUUGUGAAAUGUCGGGGCUCAACCUGGGCAUUGCAGCGCGAACUGGCAGACUUGAGUGCGCAGGAAGUAGGCGGAAUUCGUCGUGUAGCGGUGAAAUGCUUAGAUAUGACGAAGAACUCCGAUUGCGAAGGCAGCCUGCUGUAGCGUAACUGACGCUGAAGCUCGAAAGCGUGGGUAUCGAACAGGAUUAGAUACCCUGGUAGUCCACGCGGUAAACGAUGGAUGCUCGCUGUUUGCGUCUGACGUAAGCGGCCAAGCGAAAGCGUUAAGCAUCCCACCUGGGGAGUACGCCGGCAACGGUGCAACUCAAAGGAAUUGACGG
rnacentral:rRNA from 1 species